ACGUCUUCAAAAAUCCUUUCGCCUGGCAACAAGACAUAUUUAUCUUGGUUCCAAACAGCAGUGAAUACAUACGUAUUUCCUGAGAAUUAUUUUCUAUUCCAGAAAUAUAUUUUUUUGAAGUUAGUGUGCAUCCUAAAAUUCUGUCAGAUCGAUUCCUUCACUGGAUGGCUGGUUUUGGCCACGCUGUUUAAAAUUUAUUAAAACACGGGACCAUAUUGUUGGCCCACUGUAAAAGAUACAUAAAAGUGAAAGUGAAAGCCCUGGAAAAUUAUGUAUAAGUAAUCGCUAAUUUUAACUACGCAUAAUUGUAGUUAAUUCUCAAGUUGGAUGUAACUGUGCCUACUUAAAAACUUCAGGUCGUUAUUAACCGACCAUAAUUUCAUGAGGAUCGUACAUACCUAUAUACAUACAUAUUUCUCAAACAUUUAAAGAUUGACGGAUAGGGAUAAUCAAGCCAAUGAAACCACCCUCGUCGUCGAUUACAUGGAAAUGGAGAAGAUCAAGGCUUUGAAAAUUGUGCUGGAUCCACCUUUUGGAAUUGGACGUUUUUUUCAAAAAAAUCGUGAGAACUUAAUUAAUUUAAAAAUAUUGCACCGUUACUAAUUUACUAGGUUGUCAUACAAUUUAUGCACGCUUACAUAAUACAUCAAAAUUAUUAGAGAUUUAAUUUAAUGUAAACUAGUGAGCCGUAUUUCCUACCAGAGUAAAAAUUUCAAUCGCUUUUCUGCAGAAAUGUGACACGAAUUUCUACAGAAAAAAAUAUGCAGAGCGAUUUGUACACACAUUCAGAAUUAGAUAUAUACACAAAUUUCUGCAGAAUAAACCCAAACAAAAUUUUAUUCACCCUCAUGCAAAAAAA